rnacentral:rRNA from 1 species
CCUACGGGGGGCUGCAGUGGGGAAUAUUGCACAAUGGGGGAAACCCUGAUGCAGCGACGCCGCGUGAGUGAGGAAGUAUUUCGGUAUGUAAAGCUCUAUCAGCAGGGAAGAAAAUGACGGUACCUGACUAAGAAGCCCCGGCUAACUACGUGCCAGCAGCCGCGGUAAUACGUAGGGGGCAAGCGUUAUCCGGAUUUACUGGGUGUAAAGGGAGCGUAGACGGUUAAUCAAGUCAGAAGUGAAAACCCAGGGCUCAACCUUGGGACUGCUUUUGAAACUGAGUAGCUGGAGUGCAGGAGAGGUAAGCGGAAUUCCUAGUGUAGCGGUGAAAUGCGUAGAUAGUAGGAGGAACACCAGUGGCGAAGGCGGCUUACUGGACUGUAACUGACGUUGAGGCUCGAAAGCGUGGGGAGCAAACAGGAUUAGAUACCCGUGUAGUC